ACUCAAAUGAAUUGACGGGGGCCCGCACAAGCGGUGGAGCAUGUGGUUUAAUUCGACGCAACGCGAAGAACCUUACCUGGGCUCGAAGUGCUGGUAGUAGUUCCUUGGAAACAGGGGGCGAACCGUCAAGUCGGUUGCCAGUAGAGGUGCUGCAUGGUUGUCGUCAGCUCGUGUCGUGAGAUGUUGGGUUAAGUCCCGCAACGAGCGCAACCCCUAUCCCAUGUUGCUAAUCCCGCAAGGGAUGCACUCUUGGGAGACUGCCUCGGAUAACGGGGAGGAAGGUGGGGACGACGUCAAAUCAUCAUGGCCUUUAUGUCCAGGGCUACACACGUGCUACAAUGGCCGGGACAGCAGGACGCAAUACCGCAAGGUGGAGCAAAUCCCUAAACCCGGCCCCAGUUCAGAUUGUGGGCUGCAACCCGCCCACAUGAAGUCGGAAUCGCUAGUAAUCGCAGAUCAGCAGGCUGCGGUGAAUACGUUCCCGGGCCUUGUACACACCGCCCGU
rnacentral:rRNA from 1 species